GACCCGUUAGCUUAGUGGUAAGAGCGUUGAGUUGAUUUGCAAAUACAAAGGUCGGAGGGUUCGAUUCCCCCACGGGUCC
rnacentral:tRNA from 1 species